UACGGGGGGGGCAAGCGUUGUUCGGAAUUACUGGGCGUAAAGGGCCCGUAGGCGGCCAACUCAGUCGGAUGUGAAAUCCCCAGGCUCAACUUGGGAACUGCAUCCGAUACUGGAUGGCUUGAAUCCGGGAGAGGGAUGCAGAAUUCCAGGUGUAGCGGUGAAAUGCGUAGAUAUCUGGAGGAAUACCGGUGGCGAAGGCGGCAUCCUGGACCGGCAUUGACGCUGAACGGCGAAAGCUAGGGGAGCAAACGGG
rnacentral:rRNA from 1 species